rnacentral:rRNA from 1 species
AGAGUUUGAUCCUGGCUCAGGAUGAACGCUGGCGGCGUGCUUAACACAUGCAAGUCGAACGAUUAAGCCAACUUCGGUUGGGUAUAGAGUGGCGAACGGGUGAGUAACACGUGACCAACCUGCUCCGGGCACCGGGACAACCGCUGGAAACGGCGGCUAAUACCGGAUACUCCGGGGGCUCCGCAUGGGGCCCCCGGGAAAGCGCACACGGCACGGGAUGGGGUCGCGGCCCAUUAGGUAGUAGGCGGGGUAACGGCCCACCUAGCCCGCGAUGGGUAGCCGGACUGAGAGGUCGAUCGGCCACAUUGGGACUGAGAUACGGCCCAGACUCCUACGGGAGGCAGCAGUGGGGAAUUUUGCGCAAUGGGGGAAACCCUGACGCAGCAACGCCGCGUGCGGGAUGAAGGCCUUCGGGUUGUAAACCGCUUUCAGCAGGGACGAUUGUGACGGUACCUGCAGAAGAAGCUCCGGCUAACUACGUGCCAGCAGCCGCGGUAAUACGUAGGGAGCGAGCGUUAUCCGGAUUCAUUGGGCGUAAAGCGCGCGUAGGCGGCUGCCUAAGCGGAACCUCUAAUCUUGGGGCUCAACCUCAAGCCGGGUUCCGAACUGGGCGGCUCGAGUGCGGUAGGGGCAGGUGGAAUUCCCGGUGUAGCGGUGGAAUGCGCAGAUAUCGGGAGGAACACCGAUGGCGAAGGCAGCCUGCUGGGCCGCCACUGACGCUGAGGCGCGAAAGCUGGGGGAGCGAACAGGAUUAGAUACCCUGGUAGUCCCAGCCGUAAACGAUGGACGCUAGGUGUGGGGGGAUCGUCCCUCCGUGCCGCAGCCAACGCAUUAAGCGUCCCGCCUGGGGAGUACGGCCGCAAGGCUAAAACUCAAAGGAAUUGACGGGGGCCCGCACAAGCAGCGGAGCAUGUGGCUUAAUUCGAAGCAACGCGAAGAACCUUACCAAAUCUUGACAUCCCGAUGACCAAGCAUGUAAUGUGCUCUUUCUUCGGAACAUCGGUGACAGGUGGUGCAUGGUUGUCGUCAGCUCGUGUCGUGAGAUGUUGGGUUAAGUCCCGCUACGAGCGCAACCCCUGUCUUCAGUAGCCAGCAGGUAAAGCUGGGCACUCUGGAGAGACUGCCGGGGAUAACCCGGAGGAAGGCGGGGAUGACGUCAAAUCAUCAUGCCCCUUAUGAUUUGGGCUACACACGUGCUACAAUGGCGUAAACAAAGGGAAGCAACCCCGCGAGGGUGAGCAAAUCCCAAAAAUAACGUCCCAGUUCGGAUUGUAGUCUGCAACCCGACUACAUGAAGCUGGAAUCGCUAGUAAUCGCGAAUCAGAAUGUCGCGGUGAAUACGUUCCCGGGUCUUGCACUCACCGCCCGUCA